AACGCUGUCUUGCACUACAUCAGCUGCUUACCAUACAUGCAAAAACUGGGAGAGGAGGACAU
rnacentral:ribozyme from 1 species